rnacentral:rRNA from 1 species
CCAGACUCCUACGGGAGGCAGCAGUGGGGAAUAUUGGGCAGUGGGCGCAAGCCUGACCCAGCAACGCCGCGUGAAGGAAGAAGGCUUUCGGGUUGUAAACUUCUUUUAUGAGGGACGAAACAAAUGACGGUACCUCAUGAAUAAGCCACGGCUAACUACGUGCCAGCAGCCGCGGUAAUACGUAGGUGGCAAGCGUUAUCCGGAUUUACUGGGUGUAAAGGGCGUGUAGGCGGGACUGCAAGUCAGAUGUGAAAACCAUGGGCUCAACCUGUGGCCUGCAUUUGAAACUGUUUUUCUUGAGUACUGGAGAGGCAGACGGAAUUCCUAGUGUAGCGGUGAAAUGCGUAGAUAUUAGGAGGAACACCAGUGGCGAAGGCGGCCUGCUGGACUGCAACUGACGUUGAGGCUCGAAGGCGUGGGGAGCAAACAGGAUUAGAUAGCCCAGUAUG